CGCAGGCGGCCUUUUAAGUUGGAUGUGAAAGCCUAUGGCUCAACCAUAGAACUGCAUCCAAAACUAUUGGGCUAGAGUGUGGGAGAGGAAGAUGGAAUUAGUUGUGUAGGGGUAAAAUCCGUAGAGAUAACUAGGAAUACCAAAAGCGAAGGCAAUCUUCUGGAACAUUACUGACGCUGAGGCGCGAAAGCGUGGGGAGCAAACAGGAUUAGAUACCCUGGUAGUCCACGCCCUAAACGAUGAAUGUUAGUCGUCGGGUAGCUAGUCUAUUCGGUGAUGCAGCUAACGCAUUAAACAUUCCGCCUGGGGAGUACGGUCGCAAGAUUAAAACUCAAAGGAAUAGACGGGGACCCGCACAAGUGGUGGAGCAUGUGGUUUAAUUCGAAAAUACGCGAAGAACCUUACCUAGCCUUGACAUAUAUUAGAACACUUUAGAGAUAGAGUGGUGCCUUCGGGGGCUUUUAUACAGGUGCUGCACGGCUGUCGUCAGCUCGUGUCGUGAGAUGUUGGGUCAAGUCCCGCAACGAGCGCAACCCUCGUCACUAGUUACUAACGGUUCGGCCGAGGACUCUAGUGAGACUGCCUUCGUAAGGAGGAGGAAGGUGAGGACGACGUCAAGUCAUCAUGGCCCUUACGGCUAGGGCAACACACGUGCUACAAUGGCCAGGACAAUGAGAAGCGAUACCGCGAGGUGGAGCAAAUCUAUAAACCUGGUCUCAGUUUCGGAUUGUAGUCUGCAACUCGACUACAUGAAGCUGGAAUCACUAGUAAUCGUAGAUCAGCUAUGCUACGGUGAUUACGUUCCCGGGUCUUGUACUCACCGCCCGUCACACC
rnacentral:rRNA from 1 species